rnacentral:rRNA from 1 species
GUAGGUGGCAAGCGUUGUCCGGAAUUAUUGGGCGUAAAGCGCGCGCAGGCGGUUCUUUAAGUCUGAUGUGGAAGCCCACGGCUCAACCGUGGAGGGUCAUUGGAAACUGGAGAACUUGAGUACAGAAGAGGAAAGCGGAAUUCCACGUGUAGCGGUGAAAUGCGUAGAGAUGUGGAGGAACACCAGUGGCGAAGGCGGCUUUCUGGUCUGUAACUGACGCUGAGGCGCGAAAGCGUGGGGAGCAAACAGGGAUUAGAUACCCUGGUAGUCCACGCCGUAAACGAUGAGUGCUAAGUGUUAGGGGGUUUCCGCCCCCUUAGUGCUGCAGCUAACGCAUUAAGCACUCCGCCUGGGGAGUACGGCCGCAAGGCUG